GUGCGGGCUUCAGCGGCACAUAUACUAAAAUUGGAAUGAUACGCAGAAGGUUAGCAUGGCCCCUGCACAAGGAUGCCAUGCAAAUUCGUGAAGUGUUCCAUGUUAAA